UACGGGGGGGGCAAGCGUUGUUCGGAAUUACUGGGCGUAAAGGGCGCGUAGGCGGCCUACUAAGUCGAACGUGAAAUCCCUGGGCUCAACCCAGGAACUGCGUCCGAUACUGGUUGGCUUGAAUCCGGGAGAGGGAUGCGGAAUUCCAGGUGUAGCGGUGAAAUGCGUAGAUAUCGAGAGGAACACCUGCGGCGAAGGCGGGUUGCUGGGCUGACACUGACGCUGAGGCGCGAAAGCUAGGGGAGCGAACGGG
rnacentral:rRNA from 1 species